UACGUAGGGGGCAAGCGUUGUCCGGAUUUACUGGGCGUAAAGCGCGCGCAGGCGGUCUUUUAAGUCUGAUGUGAAAGCCCACGGCUCAACCGUGGAGGGUCAUUGGAAACUGGAAGACUUGAGUACUGAAGAGGAAAGUGGAAUUCCACGUGUAGCGGUGAAAUGCGUAGAGAUGUGGAGGAAUACCAGUGGCGAAGGCGGCUCUCUGGUCUGUAACUGACGCUGAGGCGCGAAAGCGUGGGGAGCAAACAGG
rnacentral:misc_RNA from 1 species